rnacentral:rRNA from 1 species
AGCAGUCGCCACGGUAACACGGAGGGUGCAAGCGUUAAUCGGAAUUACUGGGCGUAAAGCGCACGCAGGCGGUCUGACAAGUCAGAUGUGAAAUCCCCGGGCUUAACCUGGGAACUGCAUUUGAAACUGUCAGGCUGGAGUCUUGUAGAGGGGGGUGGAAUUCCAGGUGUAGCGGUGAAAUGCGUAGAGAUCUGGAGGAAUACCGGUGGCGAAGGCGGCCCCCUGGACAAAGACUGACGCUCAGGUGCGAAAGCGUGGGGAGCAAACAGGAUUAGAUACCCGGGUAGUCCCUGUCUCUUAUAC